rnacentral:rRNA from 1 species
UACGAAGGGGGCUAGCGUUGUUCGGAAUUACUGGGCGUAAAGCGUAUGUAGGCGGAUCGUUAAGUCGGGGGUGAAAUCCCGAGGCUCAACCUCGGAACUGCCUUCGAUACUGGCGAUCUUCGAGUCCGGGAGAGGUGAGUGGAACUCCGAGUGUAGAGGUGAAAUUCGUAGAUAUUCGGAAGAACACCAGUGGCGAAGGCGGUUCUCUGGGACGGUACUGACGCUGAGACGCGAAAGCGUGGGGAGCGAACAGG